rnacentral:rRNA from 1 species
GACGAACGCUGGCGGCGUGCCUAAUACAUGCAAGUAGAACGCACAGUUUAUACCGUAGCUUGCUACACCAUAGACUGUGAGUUGCGAACGGGUGAGUAACGCGUAGGUAACCUGCCUGGUAGCGGGGGAUAACUAUUGGAAACGAUAGCUAAUACCGCAUAAUAUUGAUUAUUGCAUGAUAAUUAAUUGAAAGGUGCAAUUGCACCACUACCAGAUGGACCUGCGUUGUAUUAGCUAGUAGGUGAGGUAACGGCUCACCUAGGCGACGAUACAUAGCCGACCUGAGAGGGUGAUCGGCCACACUGGGACUGAGACACGGCCCAGACUCCUACGGGAGGCAGCAGUAGGGAAUCUUCGGCAAUGGAUGAAAGUCUGACCGAGCAACGCCGCGUGAGUGAAGAAGGUUUUCGGAUCGUAAAGCUCUGUUGUAAGAGAAGAACGGGUGUGAGAGUGGAAAGUUCACACUGUGACGGUAUCUUACCAGAAAGGGACGGCUAACUACGUG